rnacentral:snRNA from 1 species
AUGCUCUCUUCAGCAGCACAUAUACUAAAAUUGGAAAUAAUAUACAGAGAAGAUUAGCGUGGCCCUUGUGCAAAUCCAUGAAACAUUCCAUACUUUU